UUGAACUCUUGAUGGUCCUGACUCCCAAGU
rnacentral:piRNA from 1 species